AGUGAACGCUGGCGGUAGGCCUAACACAUGCAAGUCGAACGGCAGCACAGUAAGAGCUUGCUCUUACGGGUGGCGAGUGGCGGACGGGUGAGGAAUACAUCGGAAUCUACUUUUUCGUGGGGGAUAACGUAGGGAAACUUACGCUAAUACCGCAUACGACCUACGGGUGAAAGCAGGGGAUCUUCGGACCUUGCGCGAUUGAAUGAGCCGAUGUCGGAUUAGCUAGUUGGCGGGGUAAAGGCCCACCAAGGCGACGAUCCGUAGCUGGUCUGAGAGGAUGAUCAGCCAAACUGGAACUGAGACACGGGCCAGACGCCUAAGGGAGGCAGCAGUGGGGAAUAUUGGACAAUGGGCGCAAGCCUGAUCCAGCCAUACCGCGUGGGUGAAGAAGGCCUUCGGGUUGUAAAGCCCUUUUGUUGGGAAAGAAAAGCAGCAGGUUAAUACCCCGCUGUUCUGACGGUACCCAAAGAAUAAGCACCGGCUAACUUCGUG
rnacentral:rRNA from 1 species